rnacentral:rRNA from 1 species
GACGAACGCUGGCGGCGUGCUUAACACAUGCAAGUCGAACGGAAAGGCCCUGCUUUUGUGGGGUGCUCGAGUGGCGAACGGGUGAGUAACACGUGAGUAACCUGCCCUUGACUUUGGGAUAACUUCAGGAAACUGGGGCUAAUACCGGAUAGGAGCUCCUGCUGCAUGGUGGGGGUUGGAAAGUUUCGGCGGUUGGGGAUGGACUCGCGGCUUAUCAGCUUGUUGGUGGGGUAGUGGCUUACCAAGGCUUUGACGGGUAGCCGGCCUGAGAGGGUGACCGGCCACAUGGGGAAUGAGAUACGGCCCAGACUCCUACGGGAGGGAGGAGUGGGGAAUAUUGCACAAGGGGCGGAAGCCUGAUGCAGCAACGCCGCGUGCGGGAUGACGGCCUUCGGGUUGUAAACCGCUUUCGCCUGUGACGAAGCGUGAGUGACGGGAAUGGGGAAAGAAGCACCGGCUAACUACGU